rnacentral:tRNA from 1 species
AAUGAAGUGCCUGAUUUAAAGGACUAUUGUGAUAGAAUAGAUAAUGUAAUAAGAUUACCUUCAUUA